rnacentral:misc_RNA from 1 species
GUGAAUCAUCGAAUCUUUGAACGCACAUUGCGCCCUUUGGUAUUCCACUGGGCAUGCCUGUUCGAGCGUCAUUUACACUCUCAAGCACUGCUUGGUGUUGGGUGCUUGUCUGCCUUUGCGCAGACUCACCCUAAAUGUAUUGGCAGCAGCACCUCUAGCUUCUUGCGCAGCACAUUGCGGUAUAAGCGGCUAGCAACAGGUCUGCGACCACGAAGAAAUCUCCAGUUUGACCUCGAAUCAGGUAGGGAUACCCGCUGAACUUAAGCAUAUCAAUAAGCGGAGGA